rnacentral:rRNA from 1 species
AACGAACGCUGGCGGCAGGCUUAACACAUGCAAGUCGAACGCAUCCUUCGGGGUGAGUGGCAGACGGGUGAGUAACGCGUGGGAACAUGCCCUUCAGUUCGGAAUAACCCAGGGAAACUUGGGCUAAUACCGGAUACGUGCGAGAGCAGAAAGAUUUAUCGCUGAAGGAGUGGCCCGCGUCUGAUUAGCUAGUUGGUGAGGUAAAGGCUCACCAAGGCGACGAUCAGUAGCUGGUCUGAGAGGAUGAUCAGCCACACUGGGACUGAGACACGGCCCAGACUCCUACGGGAGGCAGCGGUGGGGAAUAUUGGACAAUGGGCGCAAGCCUGAUCCAGCCAUGCCGCGUGAGUGAUGAAGGCCUUAGGGUUGUAAAGCUCUUUCGGCGGGGACGAUAAUGACGGUACCCGCAGAAGAAGCCCCGGCUAACUUCGUGCCAGCAGCCGCCGUAA